rnacentral:sRNA from 1 species
GCCGGGUGCGGUGGUGCACAGUCUGUAAUCCCGGCAGCUCAGGAGGCUGAGGCAGGGGGAUCACAAGUUCAAAGCCAGCCUGAGCAAAAGCGAGGUGCUAAGCAACUCAGUGAGAUCCUGUCUCUA